UAUGACCGCAGUUUCGUCAAAGAGCGAUGUACAUGUGCCAGACGAUAUUGUUCGAUUUGUGCGAGCUGUCUUGUUGUCUAGCGAUCGGGGUGUUCUGUUACGAGAUUUCUGCGCAGAUUAUGUGAAACUUGUUGGAACGCAGUUGCCGUACAAGCAGCUCGGCUUCUCUACGUGUGAGGAGAUGUUGAUGUCAAUACCAGAAGCUGUCACAAUAGUCAAGACAGAGCAGAAUGGACAGUUGCAAUUGAAGUUGUAUGGACGAGGGGACGGAGUCUCCUUCAUGACUAGUGCGGCCAAGAAGGCACAGCAGCCAAGAGUGAACGAAGAAAUUGUGUCAGGAAUAUGAUCCUAGUGGAGUCCUUUGAAACUGCAUUGUGGUUUGGUACAUGGUUGAGGCUGAUCACAUCCCAAUGAUUUGUGAGUGCAUACAGCAGUAUACGAAUGAACAUGUGAUAUCAUACUUGUUGCUUUUAUCACAACUAAGGGCAUCCAUGUCCAUUCCAUAAUGGUGUCAAGCUCUAUCACUGCCGUAGAGCUCUGUAUCAAGUUAGAUCUGCGAAUGCUCCUACAUGGUGCUGAAUGUGCUAUACUAAACGCGAACGGGACGGAAAGACAGAAUGUUCGGCCCACAAAUUUCACUCCGACAAGAUGAGGUUUUGAUCGGUCAAAUGUCCGAUAACCGACCGUUAUGUUUCUCUGUGGUCUGAACAUAAUUCUAUUUAAUGCAACACUCAACCAGACGAAUUUUAGUUGUUGACUUAGAGGCGCAGCACUUCUAUCUCUAUCAACCUGUCCUAUUACUGGAGACAUUUGACUUCACAUAUAGGCGCAUGCGUUUUUAUGUGCGGCAAUAUGGUGUAAGCCUUUUGAGCAUACAGAAGUGGGUGUUGGAACAUGUACCAGGUAAAUUUCCUGGCAUGCUAAGGAUUGUGUAUUCUGCACGGGCAUUACAGUGGAAAGUAAGGAUUACAUGAGCCAGUGUGGUAAUUGCUUCGCAAUAAGGUUAAGCAGAGAUGCUGUUUUUGUUGGCCAAAUACGUCCGGACUCAGACUGUCGAAUUCUGAAAACUGGUUUGGAUUCAUUUUUUGAACAUCUUGACCUCAUUGACAUGUACAACUAAUAUGCUUGCAUACAGCUCAAUAACUUUGCUGCAGUGCGUGACGAGUUUCCAGAAAGCCUGAUUGUAAUAUUUUGAAAAUUUGUGAACUGUGUCCUCACAGUAGCAUCAUAAGGUAAUACAGUAGUGAAAUGAAAUUUCAGCUAUGAGCUAUAGAAACGGGACUUUGUAAGGUCAUGAUUUGGCGAGUAGCAUUCUCAAAUGUUUAGGAGUUAAUUCUACUGACUUCCGGUCUUUGGGCUAUAUGGAUGUGCAAAUGGUCAACUAUGUCAUGCCCAGGAAUGUGCCAUGCCCUUAACUGAAUGCAGAGCAAUGUGUUCGUUUGGUUGUACGUGGCAACAAGACAAUGGAUGAAGUGCCAAUCAGAUCUGUAAAAUGUUUAUAAAUAAGUUGUUUUACCAGGGCAGUGCAAUCUAUGUUUGCGAUUGCCAGGUCUUGUUGGAAUAAACAGCAGAACUUGUCUGCAACGGCUAAUGCACAUUACUCUUGUGUCUUACGGCAUUUAUACUGGAACCUAACAUGAUGUAACUGUGAGCGAUAUUUAUGUCCCAUUUGUGAUAACUUUCGUUAGUGUAUUUCGACGACUACAAACUAUAUUAUACACUUUGUGAUCACAUGAAAGUUACAGUCACCGUUUACAAUUUUAGAUAGAUUUUACAAGUGGUAUGCUGCUUAAAGGAAAUAUUUUAAUCUUAUCGCAGUUUUCAGAAGGCUCAUAGCUGCAGAAGCGAGGAUGGAAUUGCAGCUUCAAUUACUAGUAAACUUCAAUUUAGCACCUGCUGCCCUGAGAACAGACUGUCAGAUGGAUGAGAGUCUACGUAUAGGUUAUUGUAUGAUUAGUGCGCUAUUGCCUUUUCAAGCACUAGAGGCAGGGUCCCGAGGCGACGCCAAGGGCUAUAGUCGCACUGUUAGUGCUGGUAAAAGCUAUAUAGAUAAGUAAUAAGUAAUUUAUGUCGUGGUCACAUGAUGUGUAUAAUACAGUUUAUAAGUAAGAGUGCAAGUUACUUUUUGUACACUUUCCAUGCAAUAGGUCAUAUGUCCCAUCUCAAUACGUGAUCGCGAUUGGUCACACAUCAUGUGACCAUGGUACAAUAAUUAAUUAAGUUUAUGCUACCUUAGUGUUAAGCAGUACAUGCUAUGGCAAAUACUAAAUAACUAUAUUUUGUGUUUUUUUAUUAAGUUAAUUGAGUUAAUUGCUGUGUUUGUGAUUACAUGUGUAGUGAGUAGUACACAUUACCAAAGUAGUUUGAUCAUCUUGUAAGCUUUAAUUUUAAUGGUGUAAACUUGUUAUUGAAAGGAAGAGUCCAAAUACUUUGAUUAAGUAGGAGCAGUGAUUUCCAGACUCUAUCUUAAAACCACUUUUGCAGACCAUUGCAUACAGAACUGCAAGGAUAACUGAUUAUUUAUUGUUGGAGACCCAAAUACAGUAGUGUGUCAGUAUUCUUACUACCCUUAAUGGAUUAGUAAUGAUUAUUACUCUCAAGUUGUUUCAGUUACCUGGUUUUAAAUGCUCACAAGGCAAAGUUCCACUCUACUUCAAAACAUUUUGUUAUUUUUCAUACUUAAUAUUUACGUGCUGCUGGAUUGCAACCAUUUCAUUACUAUGGUAUUGGCAAUGACUUGUCCACUGGUUUAAGAUCACAUUACCAGUAUAUGGCAGUUCAUGAAAGUAAGCAUUUCAAGUUCACUGUUGAAUUUAUUAGUCUGACAACUCAUGACAUCACAUCUUACUGUUUUCAUGUUUGCUAGGUCACCGGUCGAGUUUGUUGUGUAGUAUUUAUUAGAUGCUAUAAUUGUAAUUGGCUAAUUAGAGCUGUUGAGAUACAUUAAGUUUGUGUUAAAGGAUGUACUGUAAAAGGAGCUACAAAUGAGAGAAAGCAGAAACCUAUGAAGAAUUGUUCAGUCAAGAAUGGAUGUGGCUCAUCAACUACAGAUGACACAUCAUCUGUAGUUGAUGAUGUGUCAUCUGUACAUCUAACGUCUCCUGUCAUCCUUCAACGUAGACUUCAAGAACUGAAGAAGAGACAGUCAGAACUGAAUUCAACUUUGAGAUCAGUUAAAAUGAGAUGUGUGGAUGACUCUGAUCUUAUGGCUGAUAGAAAUGUGUCUAGUAAAAAGAUUAUUGAGCAGAGGAUUGAAAUUUUGAAAACAACUGUAGCAAGGCAGAAGGCAGAACUGCAGAGAGCUAGAAAAGAAACUUCUCAUUUAAGAGCAAAAAUGAGGUUGUAGUGAACAUAGUUUAUUUAGUACUUUCUGGUAUUUGUAUGAGAAGACUCUAACUUUGUGAUUAUUAAUAAGUAAUUGUUUAUUGUUAAUUUGUAUCAGCCAAUAUGUUGUGGUUUGUCAGGCUGAUGUGCUGGACAUAUUGCUAUCAAGUUGUUAAUAUUUGACACAUGCUUA